UACAUGGGGUGCAAACGUUGCUCGGAAUUAUUGGGCGUAAAGCGCACGUAGGCGGUUCGUUAAGUCGGAGGUGAAAUCCCAAGGCUCAACCUUGGAACUGCCUUUGAUACUGGGGAUCUUGAGUCCGGGAGAGGUGAGUGGAACUGCGAGUGUAGAGGUGAAAUUCGUAGAUAUUCGCAAGAACACCAGUGGCGAAGGCGGCUCACUGGCCCGGUACUGACGCUGAGGUGCGAAAGCGUGGGGAGCAAACAGG
rnacentral:rRNA from 1 species